GGGUAAGUCUUGUACGAUCAGCUCCCUUUCAACUCCCCCAGGACAGGAAUGUAGCAAGGGUACAUUGGUUGUAGCGAUGCGAUACAAGUAGCUUACCCUUC
rnacentral:SRP_RNA from 1 species